GUGAUUUCUGCCCAGUGCUCUGA
rnacentral:ncRNA from 6 species